GUGCUAGGACUCAGGCUGGCUUGUGUACAGAUGUCAGGGCAGCUGGGGCGACUCGGGCCAGGGAGUCUCAGCAGGAGGGUCCUGUCAGAAGAGGGAUCACGGGUUUGGGGUCUACUGUAGACUUACUCAGAUGCCAUAUCGUGGCCCCUUACCAACUGAUCGAGCCUGCUUCCCAAAGGGGAAGGUUGGAUGACCACUUUGGGGAUGGCUUUUUCUGGUUGCCAUGGAAACAAGAUUCUCCCAUCAUAUCUGACCACCAGAGCCAGGUUUCUCCUUAAUGAGGGGGGCAGGGAGCCCAGGAAAAUUCUCCAUCCUGGAAGACCCCCACCUCUAACUGACUUUUUUCUUUUAGGUUCCCCCCAGGGCAACAUGCCAGCCCCGUAGCACUGCCCACCCCACCCACUGUGGUCUGUUGUACCCCACUGCUGGGGUGGUGGUUCCAAUGAGACAGGGCACACCAAGCUCCAUCUGGCUGUUACUGAGGCGGAGACACGGGUGAUGAUUGGCUUUCUGGGGAGAGAGGAAGUCCUGUGAUUGGCCAGAUCUCUGGAGCUCGCCGACGCGGUGUGAGGACGCUCCCACGGAGGCCGGAAUUGGCUGUGAAAGGACUGAGGCAGCCAUCUGGGGGUAGCGGGCACUCUUAUCAGAGCGGCUGGAGCCGGACCAUCGUCCCAGAGAGCUGGGGCAGGGGGCCGUGCCCAAUCUCCAGGGCUCCUGGGGCCACUGCUGACCUGGCUGGAUGCAUCGGGCAGUGGACCCUCCAGGGGCCCGCGCUGCACGGGAAGCCUUUGCCCUUGGGGGCCUGAGCUGUGCUGGGGCCUGGAGCUCCUGCCCGCCUCAUCCCCCUCCUCGUAGCGCAUGGCUGCCUGGAGGCAGAUGCUCAGCCAGCAUUGGGCAGCCCCCGCUUCCUGCUCCCCUACCCCCUUCACAUGGCAGUAGUUCUGGGCACCCCAACAAACCAUAUUAUGCUCCAGGGGCGCCCACUCCAAGACCCCUCCAUGGGAAGCUGGAAUCCCUGCAUGGCUGUGUGCAGGCAUUGCUCCGGGAGCCAGCCCAGCCAGGGCUUUGGGAACAGCUUGGGCAACUGUACGAGUCAGAGCACGAUAGUGAGGAGGCCACACGCUGCUACCACAGCGCCCUUCGAUACGGAGGAAGCUUCGCUGAGCUGGGGCCCCGCAUUGGUCGACUGCAGCAGGU
rnacentral:lncRNA from 1 species